ACAGUGUUCACGCCAACUUGGGCGCUCGCAUUAUAUAAUAGAAUAGAUAAACUCAUUAAUUAUGCAAUGUCAGUUUAUGAUGUUAAAAGCUAUGAAUGGUGCAGUGAUAUUAUUAAAUUUCUUGGGUUAUCCAAACAACUUAUUUUGUAACAUGGGGAAAGGAAAAGGGAAGGGAAAUUUGAAUUAACCUUCUUUUUUUAUUUUAUUUUUUCCCUCUACAUUUUCUUUCCUUUUUUAUUUUUUCUCCACAAACACAGCCUAAAGAAUUCUUUGUGAUAAGCAUAUGGUUGUUAAUUGUUAAGGUAAGCCAAUUAACUAGAAAGCUUAUAAACUGUUAGAAAUGGGCCAGUAAUGUGUAUGAAGCUGUCACAAUGAUGAUAUUAAUUUGAUUUGUUUUUUAGAAUGACUCAUCAUGUUCCCAAAUUCAUUAGUAUUCGGAUGUGUGGUGUAGGCAUGCAUAGAAUGUGGUUUCUUUUACGUCAUAAACUAUGGGGUAGAGCAAGAACUGCUUAAGCAAGUGUUUGAUGAGAGCAAAAGAUUCUUCUCACUCCCCCCUGAAGAGAAGAUGAAAUUGCUUCACAAAGAAAAUAGAGGUUAUACGCCACUGUAUGCCGAGAAUCUCAACCCUUCUUCAAGUUCUAAAGGUGACUCAAAAGAAAGUUUCUAUAUUGGUCCCCUGGAAAGCAUUUCAAGUCAUAGUAAUCUGAAUCAAUGGCCUUCAGAAGAAGUUUUUCCAUCUUGGAGACCUACUAUUGAAUCUUACUAUGAAAGAGUCCUGUAAGUUUUCCCCAUUGUUUAUUCCUGUGUCACACUCUGAAAAGAGAGUAGAAAGUUAUCAAAAAUCAUAGUAGAUCUAUUCACUUAAACUGUGUCUGCCUAGUAAGUUCAUUUCCUUCAAUCAACGUUAAUUUCUUUAUACAAAAUCAGAAGUUUUGCUC